rnacentral:rRNA from 1 species
GACGUAGGGCGCGAGCGUUGUCCGGAUUUAUUGGGCGUAAAGAGCUCGUAGGCGGUCUGUCGCGUCUGCUGUGAAAACUCAGGGCUUAACCCUGAGCUUGCAGUGGGUACGGGCAGACUAGAGUGCGGUAGGGGAGACUGGAAUUCCUGGUGUAGCGGUGAAAUGCGCAGAUAUCAGGAGGAACACCGGUGGCGAAGGCGGGUCUCUGGGCCGAUACUGACGCUGAGGAGCGAAAGCGUGGGGAGCGAACAGG